UACGAAGGGGGCUAGCGUUGCUCGGAAUUACUGGGCGUAAAGGGCGUGUAGGCGGCCCUCUAAGUCAGACGUGAAAUCCCCCGGCUUAACCUGGGAACUGCGUCUGAUACUGGAGGGCUUGAGUAUGGGAGAGGGAUGUAGAAUUCCAGGUGUAGCGGUGAAAUGCGUAGAUAUCUGGAGGAAUACCGGUGGCGAAGGCGGCAUCCUGGACCAUUACUGACGCUGAGGCGCGAAAGCUAGGGGAGCAAACGGG
rnacentral:rRNA from 1 species